rnacentral:rRNA from 1 species
UAGGGAAUCUUCGGCAAUGGACGGAAGUCUGACCGAGCAACGCCGCGUGAGUGAAGAAGGUCUUCGGAUUGUAAAGCUCUGUUGUUAGAGAAGAACGUUGGUAGGAUUGUAAAAUCUACCAAGUGACGGUAACUAACCAGAAAGGGACGGCUAACUACGUGCCCGCAGCCGCGGUAAUACGUAGGUCCCGAGCGUUGUCCGCAUUUAUUGGGCGUAAAGCGAGCGCAGGCGGUUCUUUAAGUCUGAAGUUAAAGGCAGUGGCUUAACCAUUGUACGCUUUGGAAACUGGAGGACUUGAGUGCAGAAGGGGAGAGUGGAAUUCCAUGUGUAGCGGUGAAAUGCGUAGAUAUAUGGAGGAACACCGGUGGCGAAAGCGGCUCUCUGGUAUGUAACUGACGCUGAGGCUCGAAAGCGUGGGGAGCAAACAGG